rnacentral:lncRNA from 1 species
GAGAUUGGGUUCAAUUCAAUAAAGAGAUAUGAAAGACCUAUGUAUUGGCCCCAUUCUAGAGACGGUGGAGGGCAGAGAGAAAUGACAUGGAACUAACCUUAAGGAAUGCACUAUCUAGCCAGGAGACAGACAUACAGCCAAAUAUGUAAGACGGUGGGAUAACUCUAGCGGAACAGUUGUGUGCUGGAACCAGCUAGCCAGAGCCCAUCUCUGUAGUGAGUGUGCAUCUCUUCCCAAGUCUGCUUUUAGCGUCUUCACAUUCAUGGCUUGAAGGUGGCCAUGGUGGGAGUAUUUACACCACAGAAAUCAGCAAAUGCUAUGCAUCAGGGCCCUAGGAAGGCCAAUUAUGAAACACCAGCAUAUGACAGGAUAGAAGAUGUCAGAGAAAAGCCUACUCAGCGUGAAGAUGACGAGGAUGAAGGCUUGCCUUUUUGAUGAUCCACUUCCCCUUAAUGAACAACGGAGUUUCGCUCUUGAACCUGGGAGGCGGACGUUUUUAAAAACAGCUGCCUGGAGAAGCGGCCGGACGCAGGGGAAGGCUGCGCUGCCGGAAAGGGUUAACCCCGCGGGCGCCGACAUCUGGCAGGAGCGAGGGCGUUGGCAGAGCCCGGUCCGCCCGUACCAGUCUGUACAGGGGAACUGUCCCGCCUGCUGAUUUAUCAUUCCCUAAUGUCACGGGGAUGGGAUGUUGAAAUUGUGGCUAGAAUGUGAAAUACGAAAAACACGAAGAUUAUGAUUUAGCGUCUGGGGAAGAUCAGCGUUAGCCUGCAGAACAGCUUGUAAACGGGAGGCAUCCUUGGCCCUAGCUUGUGGUUUUUGACUCCAACACUCAAGCUGGGGAUCUGGGCGGGCAGAGCUUUCUUGGGUUAGAGCAGACAGGCAAAAGUGGAAUUAAUAAGAGCAAAACCACUUCUGUGCUGCUAUGGGGAUAGUGCGGGCGAGCGCCAGGAGGACCAAAGUAAAUUUUAAUUAAACAGAGACCUGAUGUUGAAGGAUAAAUAAAACAACGUGGGGUGUAAACAGCUUAAAUCAGGGAUUCAAAUGACACCUGCGGGUGUCUAGACAUGAGGUGCAUCCUGAUAAUUUAUAGUCUCGGAGAAGAUGCAGAUGAGUAGGAUAAUAUCUGCAAAUUUUGCUCCUUAAAAGAAGUAAUAGCUUGAAUUUUAAGGAGGUACUAAAUAAGGGAACUAAGUGGGAGAAUGAUUUUAACAGUUAUCCGUGGAGGAAAAGGGGUUAGCAAAGAAACACAA